rnacentral:rRNA from 1 species
AGCAGCCGCGGUAAUUCCAGCUCCAAUAGCGUAUAUUAAAGUUGCUGCGGUUAAAAAGCUCGUAGUUGAACUUCGGGGUCUACCCAUUGGUCAGGCUUAAUUGUCUGUACUGGUGAGAUGGAUCUCUACCUUCUGAGGAACUUUCAUGCCAUUUAUUUGGUGUGGUUGGAAAUCAGGACUG